UACGUAGGGUGCAAGCGUUGUUCGGAAUUACUGGGCGUAAAGGGCUCGUAGGUGGCCAACUAAGUCAGACGUGAAAUCCCUCGGCUUAACCGGGGAACUGCGUCUGAUACUGGACGGCUAGAGUUUGGGAGAGGGAUGCGGAAUUCCAGGUGUAGCGGUGAAAUGCGUAGAUAUCUGGAGGAACACCGGUGGCGAAGGCGGCAUCCUGGACCAACACUGACGCUGAGGAGCGAAAGCCAGGGGAGCAAACGGG
rnacentral:rRNA from 1 species